GCCCAGUGAGGAAAUCCUUUAACGGCCGCGAGAACCAACCGCGCGAAGGUAGCAUAAUCACUUGUCCCCCAAAUAGGGACCCGCAUGAAAGGUUGCAUGAGAAAGAAACUGUCUCCUCAGGUAGGUCUAUGAAACUGAUCUAUCAGUACAAAAGCUGAUAUAAAAAAGCAGGACAAAAAGACCCUGUGAAACUUUUAACCUAAUCAAAACCACCAUUGACCAAGGUUUUUAGUUGGGGCAACUAAGGGGAAACAAAACCCCCACUACACUGCCAAGUCUGACAAGACAAAGCACACCCACACCAAAUCCGACCCAGUAUAACUGAUCAAAGGACCAAGCUACUCCAGGGAUAACAGCGCCACACUCUUCAAGAGUCCAUAUCAACAAGAGUGCCUACGACCUCGAUGUUGGAUCAGG
rnacentral:rRNA from 1 species